UAUGGGGGACUUUUGGGAUAGCAUUGGAAAUGUAAUUGAGGAAAAUAUGUAAUAAAAAAUAUUAAUAAAAAAAAAGAAAGAAAAUGUACUUGGAAUGGCUCUAUUCUAGGAUUCUGCCACCUAAGCAGAAUGAAACGAGACUAUUUUCCACUUAAAAAUUUAUCUGUAGUUUUACUUUCAGAAAGUGAACGAUCACUUGACCCCAAGUCUUUAUUGUACAUCCCUAUGCUUAGGCCUGGCCUGUCUUCAGCACAAAUGUCAAGUUGGUUUAGCCAGAGCCUAUGGUUCCUUAGGGUUCUAUUCAGUGACUCUGAAACGUCCCAGAUCCUGCUACAAACCCUACCUAUCCAGAAUGUAGACUGAGCUCAGCUCAGUAAUGUCAAAGCCUGAUUUUACUGGUGUUAGUCGUGGCCUCAUUUUUCUAGAGAUGCAUCUUAGUCAGUAGCAAAGGAGGAAAGCAUAGUCGGCCUCUCAUUUCCGCCCUUUUACCUGACAAGAGGAACUACAGACACCUCUUCCCACAAACAAACAAACAAACAAAAAACAAAACACCUUGCCCAUGGCAUGGCUCAGUCAUUGCUUGAGCUGUCAUUUCCUUCAUCUCUACUCCAUCUUUGUCCUUACACAUUUUGUAGGCAGUUUGGGAUGGAGAUUAUUGUGAGUGGUUGCUGUUUUCAUCCCUUCUCUGGGAGUCCUGCCUGGCCUCAAUGGGAGAGGAUGUUCCUGGUCUUGCAGUGACUUGAUGUGCCAGGGAGAGGAAAUCUGUGGUGGUGGGCUUCCCCUUCUGAGAGAGCUGUGGAAGGGGGCACUGGGAGGAGAAGGGGGCAAUGUUGGGACAUACAUUUAACAAAUUAAUGGGGAAAACCAACCUUUUCUUCCUUUUCUUUCCUUGCUUGUAACAGCUAAGGUUGAUGUCACUGUCCCUCUUAACAGCCUUUUCCGUUCCUUUCUGUUUCACUUUAAGGGACUUUUGUCUGAGUCCCAACAAACC
rnacentral:lncRNA from 1 species